rnacentral:rRNA from 1 species
UACGUAGGGACCAAGCGUUGUCCGGAAUCAUUGGGCGUAAAGCGCGCGUAGGUGGCCAUUUAAGUCCGCUGUGAAAGUCAGAGGCUCAACCUUUGAAAGCCGGUGGAUACUGGAUGGCUAGAGUACGGAAGAGGCGAGUGGAAUUCCUGGUGUAGCGGUGGAAUGCGCAGAUAUCAGGAGGAACACCAGUGGCGAAGGCGGUUGCCUGGAGCUUUGCUGACGCUGAGGAGCGAAAGUGUGGGGAGCGAACAGG